UACGUAGGUGGCGAGCGUUGUCCGGAUUUAUUGGGCGUAAAGCGCGCGUAGGUGGUGUGGUAAGUCCUGUGUGAAAUCUCCCGGCUCAACUGGGAGGGUGCGGAGGAGACUGCCAGACUAGAGGCACUCAGAGGCCGGUGGAAUUCCCGGUGUAGUGGUGAAAUGCGUAGAGAUCGGGAGGAACACCAGUGGCGAAGGCGGCCGGCUGGGGGUGGCCUGACGCUGAGGCGCGAAAGCGUGGGGAGCGAACCGG
rnacentral:rRNA from 1 species